GAUGAACGCUGGCGGCGUGCCUAAUGCAUGCAAGUCGCACGCAUCGUGCUUGCACGGUGAGUGGCGCACGGCUGAGGAACACGUGGGUGACCUGCCCUGGCGUGGGGGACAACGGGCCGAAAGGUCCGCUAAUCCCGCAUACGCUCAUCACCGAUGGGUGGUGAGGAAAGCAGCAAUGCGCGCCGGGAGGGGCCUGCGGC
rnacentral:rRNA from 1 species